UAAAUGGACUCAGCAGGUUGAAUUUACAU
rnacentral:piRNA from 1 species